rnacentral:precursor_RNA from 1 species
AAAGUAAGGUUCUGCAUAAACUUUUUACUUAAAUAGUGUAUGCAUAACUUUACUACC